UUAGAAGAAAGGUUGUAGCAUGAAAUGGAACAUAUAUACCUUUGCAUAAUCAUCUUUGUGCAAGUAUGGGAAAGACUAAAGCAGCAUGCCUCCUUGUUAUAUUUAAUUGCAAGAUGAAUACCAAGUAAAGUGUGUCAAAAUCAUAAUGAUGUCACUGAGGACUACAGAGAUGCUAAGGGCAAACAACUUCAAUUGUUCAGCAGCGAUGAAUAAUCAGGUAUUC
rnacentral:misc_RNA from 1 species